UUUUUUUUUUUUUUUAAUAUUUUGAUCUACGUAUCUACAACUUUAUCUUGUGAUUUACUAAUUUGAAAUGUUUUUCUUUCAAUUUAGGUUUAAAAAAGGGGCAAGCAGUACGUAUGCAAUAAUCCCUCCAUCUCUCUAUACGGGUCUUAAUGGUUGCAUGGUAUGCUAUUGAAAUCCCUAAAAAAGGGUUUCUAACAUUUGGCAUGGAGAAGCAUACAGGUUGCUUAUUGUGCUGUUGAAACCCCAAAAAAAAAGGGUUUUUAAUAAUAAACAUGGAGAAACAUACAGGUUGCUUGGUAUGCUAUUGAAACCCCUUAAAAAAGGUUUCUCACAGUUUGCAACAAAAAAAAAAACCUUUUCCUCUACUUGUCCCUCCUUUCCACAAAACAAAUGACUACAUUUAUCCAAAUCUCACCCCGUAGUAUUAAAAAUAGAGUAAGUUAAGCCUAUAUAAUUAAUUCAAUUCUUCAUGAGAUAGAGUAGGGUUUAAAAUUAUAGAAAGGGAAUUGUCACCUUUAUUUCUUGAAUAGCUUCAUGAGAUUGAGCGGCUACACCGUAAAUGUGGGGUUUCACCAUGCUGGGGGGGACCGUUGGAGGCUGGAUGCUCAGGGCUGCUGAUCUGUGAGGCCUGCAAUGGAAGAGGAUUCACCAUGCUUGUCCUUUUACUAAUGUUCUAGGAUUACUCUUGAUUUCUGGGAAUGGAAUGGUAAGCUUGUUGGACUAUCCAAGAUGAUUCUGAAGCUCAGAAGCUGUUCUGAUUCUGAGGCUUCUAGCUGCAGGAGUCCCCAAAGCUUGUAGUGGAGGGUGCUCCUGCCACGGCAUAGAUUCCACAAUGGAAAAUGACACAUCAUGCCUAGAAGAGUUUAAUGGCAUUUGAUGAAGCAGUACUGAUAAGCUGCUGUGAGGCUGGAAGGCUGGGAUUAGGAUCUGUUGAUUUGUAAAGUGUAUUUGGGGUGAAGGUCCACCAAGAUUGGUGGUCCCAUGUUGGACUGGACAGUUGCAGCCCCAAUCUGUUUUGUUGAGGAUUGGGGCUGCUUUGGGGUUGAGUGUAAGUUUGUGAGUUGAUCUGACUAAACAGAAGCAACUCUGAAGUUUUUGGACUGCAACUCUUGCUACAGCAUGUCAAAAUAUUGAUAGUUGGACUAAACUGAAGUCUGCACUGAUUCAUAGCUGGGAAUGGAAUGGUAAGCUUGUUGGACUAUCCAAGAUGAUUCUGAAGCUCAGAAGCUGUUCUGAUUCUGAGGCUUCUAGCUGCAGGAGUCCCCAAAGCUUGUAGUGGAGGGUGCUCCUGCCACGGCGUAGAUUCCACAAUAGAAAAUGACACAUCAUGCCUAGAAGAGUUUAAUGGCAUUUGAUGAAGCAGUACUGAUAAGCUGCUGUGAGGCUGGAAGGCUGGGAUUAGGAUCUGUUGAUUUGUAAAGUGUAUUUGGGGUGAAGGUCCACCAAGAUUGGUGGUCCCAUGUUGGACUGGACAGUUGCAGCCCCAAUCUGUUUUGUUGAGG